GUGAUGGCGUGCCUUUUGAAGAAUGAGCCUGCGAGUUAGUGCCGUGUCGCGAGGUUAACCCGUGUGGGGGAGCCGCAGCGAAAGCGAGUCUGAACAGGGCGUUCAGUGGCGCGGUCUAGACCCGAAGCGGGGUGAUCUACCCAUGGCCAGGUUGAAGCGACGGUAAGACGUCGUGGAGGACCGAACCCACUUCAGUUGAAAAUGGAGGGGAUGAGCUGUGGGUAGGGGUGAAAGGCCAAUCAAACCCCGUGAUAGCUGGUUCUCCCCGAAAUGCAUUUAGGUGCAGCGUUGCGUGUUCCUUGCCGGAGGUAGAGCUACUGGAUGGCCGAUGGGCCCGACCAGGUUACUGACGUCAGCCAAACUCCGAAUGCCGGCAAGACAGAGCGCAGCAGUGAGACCGCGGGGGAUAAGCUCCGUGGUCGAGAGGGAAACAGCCCAGACCGCCGGCUAAGGCCCCCAAGCGUGUGCUAAGUGGGAAAGGAUGUGGAGUCGCAGAGACAACCAGGAGGUUGGCUUAGAAGCAGCCACCCUUGAAAGAGUGCGUAAUAGCUCACUGGUCAAGUGAUUCCGCGCCGACAAUGUAGCGGGGCUCAAGCACACCGCCGAAGCCGCGGCAGCCCCACAUCGCCCAAGCCGUCAUUGGUUCAGGGGUGGGGCUGGGUAGGGGAGCGUCGUGCGGGCAGCGAAGCCGCCGGGUGACCGAGCGGUGGAGCCCGCACGAGUGAGAAUGCAGGCAUGAGUAGCGAAAGACGGGUGGGAAACCCGUCCGCCGGAUGAUCAAGGGUUCCAGGGUCAAGCUAAUCUGCCCUGGGUGAGUCGGGACCUAAGGCGAGGCCGACAGGCGUAGUCGAUGGACAACGGGCCGAUAUUCCCGUACCGGCGAAGGACCGCCAAUGCCGGAGGGCCGAUGCUAACCAACGGAUCGCCCGCCCGGGCGCCCUUCGGGGCGGCCGGCGGGGGUGAGCGUGGGAUACCGAGGCCCCGAGGCAAGCGCAUUAACAGGUGUGACGCAGGAAGGCAGCCCGGCCAGGCGAUGGUUGACCUGGUCCAAGGACGUAGGGCGAACGGCAGGCAAAUCCGCCGUUCACGAGCCUGAGAUCCGACGGGACCCCCGCGAGGGGGGAUCGGGUGAUCCUAUGCUGCCGAGAAAAGCAUCGGCGCGAGGUCCGAGCCGCCCGUACCCCAAACCGACACAGGUGAUCAGGUAGAGAAUACCAAGGCGAUCGAGAGAAUCGCGGUCAAGGAACUCGGCAAAAUGCCCCCGUAACUUCGGGAGAAGGGGGACCCCCACCCUGAACAGGACACGCGCCUGGGAGGGGGGAGGGGUCGCAGAGACCAGGGGGAAGCGACUGUUUACUAAAAACACAGGUCCGUGCGAAGUCGCAAGACGAUGUAUACGGACUGACUCCUGCCCGGUGCUGGAAGGUCAAGAGGACCCGUCAACCUGCGAGGGUGAAGCGGAGAAUUCAAGCCCCAGUAAACGGCGGUGGUAACUAUAACCAUCCUAAGGUAGCGAAAUUCCUUGUCGGGUAAGUUCCGACCUGCACGAAUGGAGUAACGACUUCCCCGCUGUCUCGACCGCGAACUCGGCGAAAUUGCACUACGAGUAAAGAUGCUCGUUACGCGCAGCAGGACGGAAAGACCCCGAGACCUUCACUACAGUUUGGUAUUGGUGUCCGGAGCGGCUUGUGUAGGAUAGGUGGGAGACUGCGAGGCGGGCACGCCAGUGCCCGCGGAGUCGCCGUUGAAAUACCACUCUGGUCGCUUUGGGCAUCUCAACCUCGGCCCGUGAUCCGGGCCAGGGACAGUGCCUGACGGGUAGUUUAACUGGGGCGGUUGCCUCCCAAAGGGUAACGGAGGCGCCCAAAGGUCCCCUCAGCCUGGUCGGCAACCAGGUGGCGAGUGCAAGUGCACAAGGGGGCUUGACUGCGAGAGAGGCAUCUCGAGCAGGGACGAAAGUCGGGACUAGUGAUCCGGCGGCACCUCGUGGAAGGGCCGUCGCUCAACGGAUAAAAGGUACCUCGGGGAUAACAGGCUGAUCUUGCCCAAGAGUCCAUAUCGACGGCAUGGUUUGGCACCUCGAUGUCGGCUCGUCGCAUCCUGGGGCUGGAGUAGGUCCCAAGGGUUGGGCUGUUCGCCCAUUAAAGCGGUACGCGAGCUGGGUUUAGAACGUCGUGAGACAGUUCGGUCCCUAUCCGCUGCGCGCGCAGGAGAUCUGAGAAGGGCUGUCCUCAGUACGAGAGGACCGGGACGGACGAACCUCUGGUGUGGCAGUUGUACCGCCAGGUGCACCGCUGCUUGGCCACGUUCGGAUGGGAUAACCGCUGAAAGCAUCUAAGCGGGAAGCCCGCUUCAAGAUGAGAUCUCCAAACACGCAAGUGUUGAAGGCCCCCAGCAGACCACUGGGUUGAUAGGCCGGACGUGGAAGCAGGGACCAACGACCUGCGAAGCCGACCGGUACUAAUAGGCCGACAACCUCAACCAC
rnacentral:rRNA from 1 species